rnacentral:misc_RNA from 1 species
GGUGGAAUUUUUUAACGGUUAAAUUAGCAUGUUGGUGGCUACCCCCAGCGGGGUACCAUCCUCGUGUUUCUUAGGUUAUGUCCUUUAUAAGGUCUGCUGGGUGCUUCCUUUUUAGUCUUCUGUCCAUAUUUGUGAUUUUGUAUGUUUCCACAGCUAGCCGGUUUAUGUGUGUUGCUAUUCUUAAUUUGUAUUUCUCGGAGUAUCUGUUGAUUUCUUCCUUGACCGUUGGCAUUCCCAGGUCCCUUCGUAUAUCUUCGUUUCUGACAUACCAAGGGACCUGGGAAUGCCAACGG